UGGAAAGUGUUUUUAUCCUCCUCCUCCUUGAUAGAGCCAGCGACGAGCAGAAACCUAACACCAUCACCAGUCCACCGCCACCGUCUAAACAGCCCACCACCGCCACCACCUUCUUCUUCUCUAAAAGUAAAAGCAAUACCAGCUUUUUCAGUCAUAGAGAAGAGGAAUUUCGAUGAAAAUGGCUGACUAGAAAGGGACUUGUUCUCGUAUUUGCUAGGUUCAACUUUGGAAAGGAACAGCCACUCAGUGAUACACGGAAGUGUUUCUUUUGGAUAGGGUUUUGCUGAUUGUCUUUGGGUUGGCUGGUCAGUUAUUCUCUAAUAUCAUUUUUAGCAACAUUCAAGGUUCCAGAGGUAUGACCAGAAUUAGUCCGAAAAAGGAAAAGCAUGAGAAUGGGAAUGAGGGCACUUCAGCCCGAACAAGACCUUUCACAUUCGAGGAGAUUAUGCUGAGAAGGAGAAAGAAUAAAUCAAGUUCAGAAGCGGAAGCUGAAGAGUCAGAGAAUCUUUUGGUGAAGGAAAAUGAUGUAACAAUUCCAAAUCAUUCUGAACUCGGUGAAGCUCAUGAAAAAAUCAAGACUAAAGCUUCAGACGAUAGUGAGAAGAUCAGUUCCACAAGGGAACAUGAGAGUACCUCUGUGGAGGAGGACCAGUUAGGUAGAAAAGAUAAUGAAAAUUUUGAUGCUAAAAGCUACUUAGUGGCGGAGAAACUAGACAAAGAGGUCAGUGAGAGGACUAAAGAGGAGAAGAGUGAAAUAGGUAGUCGUGUCAGUAGUAGAAAUGAGGAAGUUACGUCUGAGUUAGAAAAUAAAACUGAGAAAGAUACUACAAGUAGAGUUGAAGGGGAUAAGAAGGAAAAACAUAGUCAUCACCGAAGCAGAAAUGAGGAGAGAUUAAAAGAUAACUUGGAGAAUGAGCCUGACAAAGUUACAAAAAAUAAAGGUAAAAGGGAUAAAAAUGAAAAGUCUCGUCAUUACAGAAUCAGAAACGAGGAGAUAUCAAGAGAUGACAUGGAGGUUGAAUCUAACGAAGAAUUAAGAAAUGGAGCUAAAGGGGACAAAAAUAAAACACAAUGUCACCGUGAAAGUAGAAAAGAGGAGAGAUCAACUGAUGUUUCGGAGAAUAAACCUGAUAAAGAUAUGGAAAGUAAAGCUAAAGCGGAUAGAAAUGAUAAAUCGAGUCAUCCCAAAAGCAGAAAUGAUGAGAUAUCAAGAGCUGACGUUGAAGUUCAACCAGAGAAGAGCUCUCGGAGAAAGGAGACAUCUUCAGGCACAGAAAAGAGGAAAUCUGACACUGAAACUAAAAGAAAGCAACGCCCAGCUGGUUAUGAGAAAGAUAGUUCUGAGGUUGAUGGGAAUGCUGUAAAGAAACAGGAUUCCGGAAAAAGAUACGACUCAGAAACUUCGGGAAGAAAAGGUAGAAGGGAGUCAUCUCCAUCUCACUAUGAUGAAGAGAGGCCAAAAAGAAGAAGGUCAAGGAGUCGUGAAAAAAGGGAUAAAGAUAGGAGGUCAAUUUCUGAUUUGCCUAGGGCUCACAAGCGUACUUCUUAUCAGGAGCGGGAGCAUGAGUCAUCUAGGAAGUCGUAUCUUGAUGCUGAUAAGAAUAAAAUGUCAAGCAAUAGUGGGUAUGGAAGUAGUCAUUAUCAUCGUCAUGGUGGGCAUGAAAGUAGGCUUGGUGGCUAUUCCCCUAGGAAGAGAAGAACGGACUCUGCUGUUAAGACGCCUUCUCCUACUGCCCGUUCUCCAGAGAGGAAAAGUGCUGGUUGGGAUCUCCCACCUACAGGAACUGACAAAAGCUCUGCUGGUUCCAUUCUCUCAAACAUACAAAACUCUGAUCAAAUCUUAUCCUCCAGUGUAAAUGAGGUGCCUGCUGCUGUUCUUGUUAAAUCAAAUUCAGCAACGAAAAAAGCUGUAUUUUCUGGGUCUUCCUCAAGUACCCUAUCAGCGUCAAAGAAUUCCACUGCUGAUAACGUUCAACCAACAUCUCCAAGGAGAAGACUUCUUGUAGAGAAUGUACCAACUUCAGCCUCUGAUAAAUAUGUAAUGGAGUGUUUCAAUAACUUUUUUCUGUCAUCAGAUGCUUAUCACAUUCAAGGAACCCUGCCAUGCAUUCGCUGUUCUAUGAAUAAAGAGAAGCGGCAAGCUCUUGUGGAAUUUCUUACACCAGAAGGUGCCACAACAGCCCUCUCUUUUGAUGGUAGACUCUUCUCUGGAUCUAUUCUCAAAGUUAGACGCCCGAAGGACUUCGCGGAAUCAGCAACUGGUGUCUCACAGAAGCCAAUGGCAGUUGUUGAUGAAAUAUCUGACAUUGUAAAGGACUCACCAAACAAGAUAUUUAUUGGUGGAAUUGCGAAGGUUCUUUCGUCUGAUAUGGUAAAGGAGAUUGCUAGUGCCUUUGGAGCAUUGAGAGCUUAUCAUUUUGAGGUUAAUGAAUCUGCCAGUGAAGCAUGUGCUUUUUUAGAGUAUGUGGACAAGUCAAUUACUCUCAAAGCAUGUGCUGGAUUAAAUGGGAUGAAGUUAGGAGGGGAAGUCUUAACUGUUGUCCAAUCUACUCCUGAUGCAUCUAUUGCUGGGGGCAUUGAAGAGCCACCACGUUAUGCGAUUCCUGAGCAUGCAAAGCCUCUACUUUCGAAGGCCACAAAAGUUCUGAAGCUACAAAAUGUGUUGAAUGAGGAGGAACUAUCAACUCUAUCGGGACAAGAAGUGGAAGAAGUGUUCGAAGAUGUACGCUUGGAGUGUGCAAGGUAUGGCGCCGUAAAAUCUAUUAAUAUUGUAAGGAAUGUUAACAGGCCCACCGCAGCUCCUGGUGAAAUCAUCAAUCUGGCUAGUCUGGUGAGUUCUUCACCUCAAAUAGAGGAUAGAUGUAGCCUGAAGAAAGUGGAGCCCACAGGUGUAGAAGUUGAUCCGAACUUUGGAGAAACUAGUGGACCAGUGGCUCUAGGUGAUGUCAGAGAAACCCUAGUAGAUGGGGCAGAUACAGCAAAUUGUAGUCCUUGCCAUGCCGAAAAUGAGGAAGAUAAUCUGGAUACUAUUGUUCCUACAAGUGACCUUGGCUGUGAUACAGUAUUUCAAGAAUCCCCCUCCCAACUAGAUAAAAGCAAAAAUCAAUUUUCGCAAACUAUUAACAGUAGUGAUGAUUUUCCUUUGCGUAGCAACUCAUGCACUGAAAACAGUACAGCCGUUGAGGAGGAAGAAAUGAAACUAGAAGAAGCAGGCCUUAAAUUGCAGGAAGCUUCGAUAGCAUUGAAUGAUACUUCUUGUGCAAAGGAUUCAAGUACCCAAGACAAUAACAAAAACAUCGACAUGACUGAUGAUUUUGAAGUAGGGUGCAUUCUUGUGGAGUAUGCAAGAACAGAAACCUCGUGUGUAGCAGCACACUGCCUACAUGGACGACUCUAUGGGGAUAAAACUGUGGCAGUGGGCUAUGUUGACCAUGACCAGUACAUGUCUAGAUUCCCCAAAUGAGGAUUUGUAAAUAGUGGUUUUUUAUUUGGUCUAGUGGCUUGUCAUACAUAGCGUUAAAUUUAGUAGAUGCCAUUUUUGGAUAGUUGUACUCUUGUAAACGACGGUCUCACAUUUUCGAAGUCUUCCCGAUUUCAAAGAAGGAUGGUAUUUGGGUACUCCACUCUUCUUUGACAAAUAUUGUAAAAAUGCAGCCAUGGAUGGAAUAACUGAAACAUGAGGAAGAAGCCGAAGCAAAGAAGCAGGAUUAUGUUCUCGUUCCUUUUUAUGUUUGUUGCAGGUAAUCUGAAAGUUGUUUAUGCUUCUUGAUUAGUUGCUGAAAUUUGGAGCUGUUGCAGGUAAUCUGAAAGUUGUUUAUGCUUCUUGAUUAGUUGCUGAAAUUUGGAGCUCCUGAAACUCUGUUAUCGGACUAGAGUCACUAAACAGCUAGUUGCUCUUUUAGUAUUUGGUCUUAAAGGUCUUACUGAGGUUAGCAUUUUGCCAAGUUAGUUUUUAAUUUGAGGAUCUUACUUUGUUGUUAUGUUACGUGUUCAUAAAGUGAGAAAAAUAGCAUACUGCAUCUCGACUUGUGAAUCUAGAAGGGCCAUAAUUUAGUAUAUGCAGUAAAAAUGCGAAUAAUACAUCAUGAAAAUGGUUUCUUCUCAUGUUCACUCACUAGUUCCAGCCUAAUUCGGAUUUGGUUUCGUAAAUUGAUAAGGGUUGGUACAUUUGUCUUUAACCAAGUAGAACCCACAAACCAUCAGAUCAACCUGCAGAUCAAACAAUAAAUUAGGUGUGUGGUUCGUAUCAACUGGGUAUGCUAUAGACAUGACAACAACCGUCUAGUAACAAAAUAGUUGGACAGAUUAUACAGUUGUUAAGGAGCUAGUUACACUCUGAAGAUUUUGCCUUAAUUCAGAUUUUUGCUCUUAAAUAGCUAUUUACACUCAGAUUUUUAUCUUAAAGAGCUAUCUUGAUUCAGAUUUUUUUCUCUUAAAAAACUAUCUUGAUUUAGUUGUUGCUCUUAAAGAGGUAUCUUGAUACGGCAGUUCUUUUAAAUCUUCUUCUUUGAUCUCAUCAUCAUCUGAUAUUUUUCUGAUUUCAUCAUAUAAUUUGGAUUGAAUGUCUUGAUGUUUCACUAAAUUAGCCAUAACCCAUUGUAAAGCUGUUGACGUAGUACCAGCACCUGCAGUGAAAAACUCAGAACAUAAAGUAACAAUUUCAUCUUCUGUCAAUUUUCUUCCACCUUCAUCAGGUAAUUCAAGAUUCAACAGUGAAUCAACAUAACAUAAACAUAAAACUUUCUCAUGAUUUUCAACCGUUUUCUUCUUCAUUUGUUCUUCUUGUCUUGAUCUAAUUAGUGGAAUUAGUACCUUUUCUUGAUCAGUUCUCAGCUUAUUCAUUUCAUCUCAUUUUCUCUUGAAAAUUAUUUUAGUCAAUCUGGGGUAAAAGUUCAGGAAAAAAAAGUACUAAACUUUUCUGAACGGAUUCAACUUCUCUAAUUCUUUUGUCUUCGAGUUUUUCCCCAAAGCACAUGUAAACCAGUAAACAAAACAUACCAAAUUGAAAAUGAUCAGCAGGAUUUUUCCCUGAUUUCGAUUCUGUUUUUAUACUUCCUUUGAUCUGUUCCAAAACCCAUUUUCGAGCUGGUGAGAAUGAUUUGAUCUUUGAAGGAUGAAGAAUCUGAAGACUAAGAUUUCUCCUGAGUAGUCUCCAUAAAGGACCAUCAGAAGCACUGAUAUUAUGUUUGUUACUUGAAAAUCUUUUCAACGUUGCUGCUUCCGGUGGACGGGCAGCAAAAACUGCUCCAUUUCCAAUCAAGGCUUCAUGAGCCAGACUUGAGGUUGUAAUGAAGAUUGAUUUACGAUGACCGAUAGAUAAAAGUUAAGAUAGGUCCAUAUUUUGUUUUCAGAUUUCUAACAGUUGGUUCUAAGUCUGCAAAUGAUUUUCUGAGCCACUGGAAGUUUGUUAUGAUUGGGAUUGAAAAAGGACCAGGUGGUAACUUUGUAGGGGUUUUCAGGAGAUUGAUUACACAUUUUAGGAUUGCACAAAACCAAAGUGUGAUUACGAUUAUCAGCCAAAUGCAUUCUUCCAUUGAUAGGCACAACUUGUGAGGUUAUAUGCUCAUUGAGGACUGUAAGGUUUCAAAGAGUUACAGUCUUUAUAUUAUUACAAUCGCAAUAAUGCUGUGCUAUAUUCCCAACUAAAACAUGGGUCGGCUCGUCUCAGUCACAAUAAUGAUAUACGCAUUCACUGUGGUUGUUGUUGCCAGUAAUUAUCUAGAAAUGCAAAUGUAAAGAGAAAGUUGUUUAGGCUUCAAGAAUCAAGAUUUGUUGCUGAA